rfam:Triticum aestivum genome assembly, contig: Triticum_aestivum_CS42_TGACv1_scaffold_159601_2DL
GCAGUACUCCCUCCGUUCCGAAUUACUUGUCGCAGGUAUGAAUGUAUGUAGAUGUAUUUUAGUUCUAGAUACAUCUUUUUGCGACGAGUAAUUUGAAACGGAGGGAGUAUUUA